UACGAAGGGGGCUAGCGUUGCUCGGAAUCACUGGGCGUAAAGCGCACGUAGGCGGCUUUUUAAGUCAGAGGUGAAAUCCUGGAGCUCAACUCCAGAACUGCCUUUGAUACUGGAGAGCUUGAGUCCGGGAGAGGUGAGUGGAACUGGCGAGUGUAGAGGUGAAAUUCGUAGAUAUUCGCAAGAACACCAGUGGCGAAGGCGGCUCACUGGCCCGGUACUGACGCUGAGGUGCGAAAGCGUGG
rnacentral:rRNA from 1 species